rnacentral:rRNA from 1 species
AGUGAACGCUGGCGGUAGGCCUAACACAUGCAAGUCGAACGGCAGCACAGUAAGAGCUUGCUCUUACGGGUGGCGAGUGGCGGACGGGUGAGGAAUACAUCGGAAUCUACUUUUUCGUGGGGGAUAACGUAGGGAAACUUACGCUAAUACCGCAUACGACCUACGGGUGAAAGCAGGGGAUCUUCGGACCUUGCGCGAUUGAAUGAGCCGAUGUCGGAUUAGCUAGUUGGCGGGGUAAAGGCCCACCAAGGCGACGAUCCGUAGCUGGUCUGAGAGGAUGAUCAGCCACACUGGAACUGAGACACGGUCCAGACUCCUACGGGAGGCAGCAGUGGGGAAUAUUGGACAAUGGGCGCAAGCCUGAUCCAGCCAUACUGCGUGGGUGAAGAAGGCCUUCGGGUUGUAAAGCCCUUUUGUUGGGAAAGAAAAGCAGCAGGUUAAAACCCCGCUGUUCUGACGGUACCCAAAGAAUAAGCACCGGCUAACUUCGUG